rnacentral:rRNA from 1 species
CCUACGGGUGGCUGCAGUGGGGAAUAUUGGACAAUGGGCGAAAGCCUGAUCCAGCCAUGCCGCGUGUGUGAAGAAGGCCUUCGGGUUGUAAAGCACUUUCAGUGGGGAAGAAAGCCUUGGGGCUAAUACCCUCGAGGAAGGACAUCACCCACAGAAGAAGCACCGGCUAACUCCGUGCCAGCAGCCGCGGUAAUAUGGAGGGUGCGAGCGUUAAUCGGAAUUACUGGGCGUAAAGCGCGCGUAGGCGGUCUGAUAAGCCGGUUGUGAAAGCCCCGGGCUCAACCUGGGAACGGCAUCCGGAACUGUCAGGCUAGAGUGCAGGAGAGGAAGGUAGAAUUCCCGGUGUAGCGGUGAAAUGCGUAGAGAUCGGGAGGAAUACCAGUGGCGAAGGCGGCCUUCUGGACUGACACUGACGCUGAGGUGCGAAAGCGUGGGUAGCAAACAGGAUUAGAUACCCUUGUAGUC